AAUUACUAAACAGGAUAUGAACACAUACUGUGCCCACCAUGCUUCAUUCUGUAUGGACCAGUCACAACAUACAAUUGUGCAAUUGGGCUUCCAUUCACAACACACAAUUGUGCAGUAAAGUGCACACUGCCCUCAAAGUCUGCAGGCAGAAUGGCCUUUCUUCGUAUUUGGGAUCUGCAAUCAUUAAUAGCAUACUUUUACCAGAUUUCUACGAAAAUUACUACAGGGCAACAAUUAACUAUUCCAGCUCUGUCUUUCUAUCCCCCUGGCAUCUUCAGAUGCGAAAUUCUUUCAAAUACCAUUUGGCCUGAAAACUCAACCAGGUUCACACAUUUGCAUUGAGUAAGCCUGAGAAUCUAAACAUUUUGCUUAUUCUCUUGUCCAAAUGCCUAUGCAUGUGGCAAGGGUGCCUUUGGCUUGCUUUUCUGCCCUCCUAAACCUAAAUCUGCAGUUCCAAAUUUUGAGUCCAGCUAAUAGGGUUCUCCAUUCUGUGUUGGAGCAGUCUUCAUGUGGGGAUUUCUCCUCUACUUUUCCUCUCCUCACUGUAACACAAUAUGGAGCCAAGUUAAUGGUACCUAGAAUCCACACAUAAGGGCUGAAAUCCACCUGGGAUUAACAAGACAGGGCCAGGCUUUGGAUCUUGUCCAGUGAAAUUUUGAGAUUGUGUGAGGAGCUCCUGGUAUAAACUGAAUCUGGUGGCAGAAUCUCUAAGUGUAAAGAAGCAUGUUAGCCAAGGGAAGUUAGGGCCACAACUGUCCAGAGCCAUGAAUGCAUGAAUGCAACCCCAUCUCCUAUGUGUGAGUUGUAUUACUGGAGAAAGUUUUUUUGUUGUUGUUUUUUAUUUGUUUAUUUUUUUAUGAGACAGAGUCUCUGUCUGUUGCCAGGCUGGAGUGCAGUGGCGUGACCUUGGCUCACUGCAACCUCUGCCUCCCUGGUUCAAGUGAUUCUCCUGCCUCAGCCUCCCAAGUAGCUGGGAUUACAGGCUCUCAUUUCUUGAUACUUGGGUGAAGAACAAGUAGGAGGUCUGGAGGCUCAAACUGAUAUGUAAACAAAUUGCUUUUAUUAUUAUUAUUUGCCAUUAGAAAAACAGGUGAAACAGUCAUGGACUCUACUAUUCAGGAAUUAUUAUUCUAGAGCCAGUAAAUACAUGGUUGAAUUAAGAGUAAUGUGAUCAGAAUGAAGAAGGGAGUUGCACAGAAGACUUGGGCUUUAUUUGGGACACUGCUCUUAUGUUGUUGUGAGUUCUGAUG
rnacentral:lncRNA from 1 species